GCUGCCUGGUUUUGGCAGCACAUGUACUAAAAUUCAAAUGAUACAGAGUAGAUUAGCAUGGCCCCUGCACAACAAUUUUACAUUUUGUCUAUGUAUAUGAGGGAAAUUGUU